UACGUAGGUGGCAAGCGUUGUCCGGAGUUAUUGGGCGUAAAGCGCGCGCAGGCGGUGCGGUAAGUCUAUGGUGAAAGCGCUCGGCUUAACUGGGCGAGGGCCGUGGAGGCUGCCGGACUGGAGGGGAGCAGAGGCGAGUGGAAUUCCGGGUGUAGCGGUGGAAUGCGUAGAGAUCCGGAAGAACACCGGUGGCGAAGGCGGUCUGCUGGGCAGUUGCUGACACUGAGGCGCGACAGCGUGGGGAGCAAACAGG
rnacentral:rRNA from 1 species